rnacentral:rRNA from 1 species
UACGAAGGGGGCUAGCGUUGCUCGGAAUCACUGGGCGUAAAGCGCACGUAGGCGGUUUGCUAAGUCAGGGGUGAAAUCCUGGAGCUCAACUCCAGAACUGCCUUUGAUACUGGCGGACUUGAGUCCGGGAGAGGUGAGUGGAACUCCGAGUGUAGAGGUGAAAUUCGUAGAUAUUCGGAAGAACACCAGUGGCGAAGGCGGCUCACUGGCCCGGUACUGACGCUGAGGUGCGAAAGCGUGGGGAGCAAACAGG